rnacentral:rRNA from 1 species
UACGUAGGGUGCAAGCGUUAAUCGGAAUUACUGGGCGUAAAGCGUGCGAAGGCGGUUCUAUAAGACAGAUGUGAAAUCCCCGGGCUCAAACUGGGAACUGCAUUUGUGACUGUAGAGCUGGAGUGCGGCAGAGGGGGAUGGAAUUCCGCGUGUAGCAGUGAAAUGCGUAGAUAUGCGGAGGAACACCGAUGGCGAAGGCAAUCCCCUGGGCCUGCACUGACGCUCAUGCACGAAAGCGUGGGGAGCAAACAGG